rnacentral:rRNA from 1 species
CUACGGGGGGCAGCAGUGGGGAAUAUUGCACAAUGGAGGAAACUCUGAUGCAGCAACGCCGCGUGGAGGAUGACACUUUUCGGAGCGUAAACUCCUUUUAUAUAGGAAGAAGAUGACGGUACUAUAUGAAUAAGCGCCGGCUAACUCCGUGCCAGCAGCCGCGGUAAUACGGAGAGCGCAAGCGUUACUCGGAAUCACUGGGCGUAAAGAGCGUGUAGGCGGAUUAAAAAGUCAGAAGUGAAAUCCUAUAGCUUAACUAUAGAACUGCUUCUGAAACUCUUAAUCUAGAAUGUGGGAGAGGUAGAUGGAAUUUCUGGUGUAGGGGUAAAAUCCGUAGAGAUCAGAAGGAAUACCGAUUGCGAAGGCGAUCUACUAGAACAUUAUUGACGCUGAGACGCGAAAGCGUGGGGAGCAAACAGGAUUAGAUACCCCGGUAGUC